rnacentral:tRNA from 1 species
GUGGGUAUAGCUCAGUGGCAGAGCUCAUGCUUAGCACACAUGAGGUCCUGGGUUGAAUCCCGAAUACCUCCA